rnacentral:lncRNA from 10 species
UUUUAAAAAAAGUCACAGAAGAAUGUGGAGACACUUAGCAAAACGGACUCUCAUAAGAGUGUUCGAUGGUGCUGCUACUAAUGAAAGAUUUGAGGAAACUCCUAAGGUCCCUCCAGUGUACAACAAUUUGGAACUUCCAUUUUCUCAACAACUGCUCUUCCAAGAUGCUGCCUCAUUUCAGAGCCAUGUUUUACUCAUGAGCUGGUCCUGUCCAGAAAACAGCCAAUGCUCAUUCCCGACACUUUCUUGUCACUGCUCUUUUCUGUUCCCUAUUUUGUCAGUAAGGAAGUAAACAACCGCUAAAACAACCCUCUAACAACAGAAGACCCUCAUGAGAACACCAGGCAGCAGAAGCUUCUUUAGCAGUAAAAGAUAUCUGGAUAUUCAUAUUUUGUUCCAUGAUCUUCAACAUUAAAUAAAUAAACUUAA